UUGUCAUUGAUAUAUAUCCUCGGCAAACAGACACUGUGAGAUAUGCCAGGCCUGUACGUCUAAAGAUGGCAGGCAAUGGAAACACUGUCAGACCUGCAACAGAUGCGUAAAACCAUGAACACACAUGUGGGACAGCCGGAGAUGGAUGCUUUAUAUGUGGAUGUACUGAGCACAAACGCAGAGAGUGUCCUCACACAGCAUUCGCAAACAGGACCACCAUGUGGGAGGCAGAACCACGUAAAAGAAAAAUUUUGGAAAUCGAGAGAGAGACCGCUGUAAAGAACUCU